AUCAAUUGGUAUCAAAGCCUUAUCAUUUCUUUCAUUUCUUUUACGAUAAGACUUUAGGGUCUUAUUAUUUGGUAUCAGAGCGACGAUAAGACUUUAGGGUCUUAUCAUUUGGUAUCAAAGCAACGAUAAGACUUUCAUUUCCCUUUUCUCCCCUUUUCCUGUAUUUUCGCAAUGACAGGCCCUUGGCGAUGCUGCCCCUAGCCGCACCACCAUCGCUGCCUCCCAGCCCUCAACAGUAGCGAUCCCUCCACGUAACGACCACAGCAAGCAUCGUUGCCUCCUAUGCAGCGAACACAGCUACAUCCCUGCUUCCCUUGCCGGACCCAUGCUUUCGGCUAGCCCACCC
rnacentral:lncRNA from 1 species